AUUUUGAUUGGAUUGUUUAAUAGGGUCGAUUUGAUGGUUGAAAAAGCUUCAGAGGUCAUGGAUUCAGAGUAAUCAUCAUCACAAUCGGAGAUUGGGUCAGCAGAGGAUGUGGUACAGGCAUUGCUGGACUACUUGGUUGCUCCUAUGUUGCCUUUGAAGUCCGCUGGCUGUGAAGUUCCUUCUCUUGAGCAACAACAAUCGGUCGCCAAACAGGUUGGUGCAAUUGUUUUAUACACCUAUGUUUAUCAGAUGCUUGACCCCCUCCUGAAGGUACCUUCGACAUUGAGGACAUAAAUCUUCCCAUCAAGUACACUGCCAAGGAUAGCACUCCAGUGGAAACUCCUUUGCUUACGGAAGAGGUGGUUCCAACAGAUUCAGAUGCUCCAAAGAAAGGAAAGUGAACAGCUGGAUAAAGUUAUGAAGAUUUGGACAACCUUCCUGGAACCGAUUAUUGGGGUUCCUUGUCGGCCUCAGGGGGCAGAGGAUGCAGAAGAUGUUGUAAAGGCUAAAAAUCAAAUUUCACAAAGUGGUGCAGCUAGUGUUGGAGAAAGUAAUGGCAAUCCAGUUGGUGGUGCAACUGUCAUUACUACCAAGGAUUCA